CAACCUUCACAAUGCUGACAGCUAUCACAUUUAUUUCUCCUUCCUUUCUUCUCUUCAUGUUUUUGGAACAAAUACCAUCUUUUGCAGAAAGAACCAGAUGGUGUUACAUUAGUAUGGGGGACUAUAGAGUCACAGAAAACCCACUACACUGCCAGCCCUUAGAGAAGAAAUUGAAAACGCAUGUAUAGCAAUUUCAAUGAUCAAUGUUACC
rnacentral:lncRNA from 1 species